GGGCCAGGGCGCAGUGGAUAACGCGUCUGACUACAGAUCAGAAGAGUCUAGGUUCGGCCCCUGGCUGGCCUG
rnacentral:tRNA from 1 species